GAUGAACGCUGGCGGCGUGCUUAACACAUGCAAGUCGAACGGAAAGGCCAGUGCUUGCACUGGUACUCGAGUGGCGAACGGGUGAGUAACACGUGGGUGAUCUGCCCUGCACUUCGGGAUAAGCUUGGGAAACUGGGUCUAAUACCGGAUAGGACCACUUCGUUGUUGUUGUGGUGGAAAGUUUUUUCGGUGUGGGAUGAGCUCGCGGCCUAUCAGCUUGUUGGUGGGGUAAUGGCCUACCAAGGCGUCGACGGGUAGCCGGCCUGAGAGGGUGUACGGCCACAUUGGGACUGAGAUACGGCCCAGACUCCUACGGGAGGCAGCAGUGGGGAAUAUUGCACAAUGGGCGGAAGCCUGAUGCAGCGACGCCGCGUGGGGGAUGACGGCCUUCGGGUUGUAAACUCCUCUCGCCAAAGACGAAUUUUGACGGUAUUUGGAGAAGAAGCACCGGCUAACUACGUGCCAGCAGCCGCGGUAAUACGUAGGGUGCGAGCGUUGUCCGGAAUUACUGGGCGUAAAGAGCUCGUAGGUGGUUUGUCGCGUCGUUUGUGUAAGCCCAUGGCUUAACUGUGGGACUGCAGGCGAUACGGGCAUAACUUGAGUGCUGUAGGGGAGACUGGAAUUCCUGGUGUAGCGGUGAAAUGCGCAGAUAUCAGGAGGAACACCGAUGGCGAAGGCAGGUCUCUGGGCAGUUACUGACGCUGAGGAGCGAAAGCAUGGGGAGCGAACAGGAUUAGAUACCCUGGUAGUCCAUGCCGUAAACGGUGGGCGCUAGGUGCGAGUCCCUUCCACGGGGUUCGUGCCGUAGCUAACGCAUUAAGCGCCCCGCCUGGGGAGUACGGCCGCAAGGCUAAAACUCAAAGGAAUUGACGGGGGCCCGCACAAGCGGCGGAGCAUGUGGAUUAAUUCGAUGCAACGCGAAGAACCUUACCUGGGCUUGACAUACACCGGAUCGCUGCAGAGAUGUAGUUUCCCUUGUGGCUGGUGUACAGGUGGUGCAUGGUUGUCGUCAGCUCGUGUCGUGAGAUGUUGGGUUAAGUCCCGCAACGAGCGCAACCCUUGUCUUAUGUUGCCAGCAUUUGGUUGGGGACUCAUGAGAGACUGCCGGGGUUAACUCGGAGGAAGGUGGGGAUGACGUCAAAUCAUCAUGCCCCUUAUGUCCAGGGCUUCACACAUGCUACAAUGGUCGGUACAACGCGCAGCGAGCCUGUGAGGGUGAGCGAAUCGCUGAAAGCCGGUCGUAGUUCGGAUUGGGGUCUGCAACUCGACCCCAUGAAGUCGGAGUCGCUAGUAAUCGCAGAUCAGCAACGCUGCGGUGAAUACGUUCCCGGGCCU
rnacentral:rRNA from 1 species